UCAUUCUUGACAGAGAGAUUUUGCUCAGAACUUUUCAGUCUAUGCUUUAUGAAGGAAAGCAAGCGCUGUUAAAUACUGUCACUACGGCUUUGGAUCAUAUCAUGACUUCCCCUUCCAAUUCCCAGAUGUGGUCUAGAUGUCCAUCAAAUGGACGAUGAAGGGAAGAGUGGGAUUUCAGUACCGCUUGAAGGACCUUGAACAUAUUGCUGAAGGUCACCGGGUUGAGUAUGUUCACCUUCUAAAUUGGAGCAAUCCAUCAUCCACAAAAAUACACUGAGCUUCUAAAUGAAAAGGAAUCGUGAGCAUA